rnacentral:lncRNA from 1 species
UUGUGUGUGUGUGUGUGUGUAUGUGUGAAAAAUCAGAACUUGGUGAUGACCUUGAGCAACAGGAUAUACAUAACUGCCACAAGCUUAGCAUUCCAAUAGUGGAACACUAGGCAUAAAUGGGUUAUGGCUUCAGUAUCCUGCAAAAUAUCCCUGUAAGGUAGCUGUCUAUGCUUAAACACCUUGGUCUUAGGAAACUAGGAUUUGUGGAUAUUAGGCAAUGUUAUGGGCUGAUUGUGUCCCCUAAAAUACAUAGGGUGAAGCCCUAAGCUCCUACCAACUGUAUUUGGAGAUAAGGCCUUUGAAGAAGUAAUUAAGGUUUAAUGAGGUCAUAAGGUUGGCACUCUAAUCCACUAGGACUGGCGUCCUUAUAAGGACAGGAAGAGACAUCAGAGGUUCUCUUGAGCUCACAAAGAAAAGGCUGUGUAAGGACACAGCAGCAGAAGGCUAUCUGCAGCCAAAGACAGAGGCCUCAGGAAAAACCAAACCUGAUGACACCUCAGUAUUGGACUUCUAGCCUCCAGAGUUAUAUGGACCCACCUCUCUAUUUUCAAGAGCAUUAAAUUCAGUUAAAAACUAAAAACAAAAAUACUGCCAAGGGAUUGAGACGGUAAAGUAACAUCAUGCCUGAUAGAAUAAACUAUCAAGACAGCAUGAACAAACCCAACUGAAAUGGAACAAGCAAGCUUAACACAAGUCAAAGAAGCUCUCUAGAGUGUUAAAAUGAAAAUACAACUAAACAGAACCAAAACUGCUAUUCAUGGGAAUAGCAAAUGAAGAAUUUUCUUCAGAAUCUACACGGAUAACUUCUAUGAGAUUAUUCAAAAUGUGGAAAUUUUUUUCAGAAUUUUUGUUUCCAAAUGGAAUUUAAUACAUUUCAUGAAACAAAUGAAAUUUUAUCAGAAAUAAAACAUUUAAAUUACCAAAAGCCUAGCCUCCUUAGGAAGGCUGUUUUAGGAAGACAUGGGUAGAAAUAUUUUCAUCAAAGCCCUGAUCAUCUUCCCUUUUUGAGAUAAGGAAACUGAGGUGCAUUAUAAUAGCAACAGCAGCUGAUGUGUAGUAGAUCCAUACCACAAGCCAGACGAGGCACAAGUCAACCAGAGGUUAUGCAAUUAGCUUGGAGUCAAAGAGAAAGCAAGGAGUAGAGCUGAGAAGGAAACCCCAGUGUGAACUUGAUUUUUAUUCAAUCAAACUGUUAAGAUUGACUUCUAUACUUCUGGGCUAAAGGCAGCUCAAGAGUCAAUAAGAAUCACAAGCUUUCCACAGUGAGAAGAAAGUGCAAUUGCCCAGUCCUCUCUAUCUAUGAAGUGCAGACAGUAUUCCUCUUCCUCACCUCACACUUUCGAUUAUUGCAAUGGUGGAAACCAUGAUAAAUAAAAGCGCUUAUCUAGUGGUUUGGUUUUCACUAAAAUUACAGACUUCUGUAACAUUAUUUGGAUACCAUAAAACACAAACCAAAUUUUAGGAGAUGCUUUAGGGUGUUUUUUCCCCUGCCCUCCUGUCGGAAGCCCUCUAUCUUUUUACUGUAAUUUAUCUGAUAUAGCUACCAAGAUGCUUGAUACUUUUACAUGCAAGGGUGCUGAAAAACAAAGAGCGAGGGAAUGGGUUGUUAAUGAAAUUCUCUGAUUGUAAAAAGCACUCUGGAAUGAUCAGGUGGUAAAUAAUAAUAAGAGGAAAUAACAUAAAGUGCUUAGGUGCUACAGCGAUAGUCACCAUAUAAAUGCAGAAGAGAUCAGACAUGAAUAGAAUUUGCAUUUUAUGCAGCUGCUGUGUGUGUAUAUAGAAUAUACAGUAGCUAAUUUUUCAAUAAUGCUGGUAAAAUAUUGUUCAAAAUCUAUUCUUGCUGUCUUCUCACUUUAAAAGGCAUUAUAUAGAAAAACACCCAUCUGUCCUAGUGCAAUGGUGAAUGUGUGCAAAGAGCCUAGAAAAAGAGCCUCUUUGCAUACGUGAAAAAAAAGAACUCAAAUAAAAGGAGAUAAUGAAGAAGAGACAAUAGUAACACUAUUAGAACAGCUAUGCAGACAAGCACAAAGGUGAUCUUUGAAAAACAUCAGGGAUAAAUAACUCUGUUAAUGUGUGGCAGAGAAACUACAGUUAAGACAUACAGUAAUAUACCAAAAAUAUAGACAUGCUUUUAUUUUGUCUACUGGGCUAUUGUGAUAGUGAUGGUUGUUUUUGAAUAGAAAGGAAGAAGAGAGUGGGAAGUAGGAUUUCGUUGUUUGUUGUUACUGUUGCUGCUCAGUUUAGAACAACAACAUCAACUACACACCAGACCCGUCCAACAGUUCCACAAACAAUGCUUACCAUGAAUCUGCCCUCAAUUUUCUUGUUGUUAUUUUCCCUUAAUACUUAUUGAUAACCCAAUGCCCAUUCAUUAGAUAUGCUAAAUCCUCGUCCAUGGUUACUCUCCUUUGGAAGAGACUGAGAAGAUGCUAAGAGGGAGUUCCUCUUACACAUAAGGGAAGAGUCUGUUUAGGAAUCUGAGAAAGCAGAGGCCAGGAUAAAGAGACCACUAGUCAAUCAAUACUAAGCACCGAAGACUGAAUCACCCAAAGAUACAAUUAUCUCCCUUCCUUUGUUCUGUCUCUUAGUCAAAUAAAGGAUUGUUUGUAGAACCUUUUCUGUUCCUGAUCUCUAAAAAGCAGGACUGGACUUGCACAUCCAACUAUAAUUCAAAAUAUCUCACACUUCCAACUUGAAAGAAGACAUAAACUGUUUCAAAGAAACUCAGAGAGAGCAAAUGCAUAUUCACAAAACUUACACUUA